CAACUACUCCCUCUGUCCCAAAUUUCUUGUCUUAGAUUUGUCUAGAUACGUAUCUAGACAAAUCUAAGACAAGAAUUUUGGGAUGGAGGGAGUACUUU
rfam:Triticum aestivum genome assembly, contig: Triticum_aestivum_CS42_TGACv1_scaffold_654047_T_7BS-0.040784_6BS-0.026140